rnacentral:rRNA from 1 species
UACGUAGGCAGCGAGCGUUGUUCGGAAUUACUGGGCGUAAAGAGUGUGUAGGCGGACGCCUAAGUGUCUUGUGAAAUCCCACGGCUCACCCGUGGAACUGCUGGGCAUACUGGGCGUCUUGGGCCAACUAGGGGCAGCCGGAACAAGCGGUGGAGCGGUGAAAUGCGUAGAUAUCGCUUGGAACGCCGAAGGUGAAAACAGGCUGCUGGGGUUGCGCCGACGCUGAGACACGAAAGCCAGGGGAGCAAACGGGG